CGGACGUGAGGGAACCUGCCUUCCAGAGGGGGACGAACAGUUGGAAACGACUGCUAAUACCGCAUGACACAUGACCGUGGCAUCACGGACAUGUCAAAGAUUUAUCGCUGGAAGGUGGCCUCGCGUCUGAUUAGCUGGUAGGCGGGGUAACGGCCCACCUAGGCGACGAUCAGUAGCCAGACUGAGAGGUUGACCGGCCACAUUGGGACUGAGAUACGGCCCAGACUCCUACGGGAGGCAGCAG
rnacentral:rRNA from 1 species